AUCAGGAUGGCCAAGUGGUCUAAGGUACCAGACUCAAGUUUUGGUCUCCAAAUGGAGGCGUGGGUUUGAACCCCACUUCUGACA
rnacentral:tRNA from 1 species